rnacentral:rRNA from 1 species
AUCGAACGCUGGCGGCAGGCCUAACACAUGCAAGUCGAGCGGAGCGGCGGACGGGUGAGUAAUGCCUAGGAAUCUGCCUGGUAGUGGGGGAUAACGUCCGGAAACGGGCGCUAAUACCGCAUACUAUCAGAUUAGCCUAGGUCGGAUUAGCGAGGUGUGGGGGUAAAGGCCUACCAAGGCGACGAUACGUAACUGGUCUGAGAGGAUGAUCAGUCAAGCUGGAACGGAGAGACGGUUCAGCAGCCUGCGGGAGGAAGCAAGGGGGAAUAUUGGACAAUGGGCGAAAGCCUGAGCCAGCCAGGCCGCGUGGGUGAAGAAGGUCUUCGGAUUGGAAAGCAAUUUAAGUUGGGAGGCGUUACCAACAGAAUAAGCACCGGCUAACUUCGUGCCAGCCGACGCGGUAAUUC